UACGUAGGGUCCGAGCGUUGUCCGGAAUUAUUGGGCGUAAAGAGCUCGUAGGCGGUUUGUCGCGUCUGCUGUGAAAUCCCGAGGCUCAACCUCGGGUCUGCAGUGGGUACGGGCAGACUAGAGUGCGGUAGGGGAGACUGGAAUUCCUGGUGUAGCGGUGAAAUGCGCAGAUAUCAGGAGGAACACCGGUGGCGAAGGCGGGUCUCUGGGCCGAUACUGACGCUGAGGAGCGAAAGCGUGGGGAGCGAACAGG
rnacentral:rRNA from 1 species